GACAGCAGCCGCCGCGGUAAUACGGAGGAUCCAAGCGUUAUCCGGAAUCAUUGGGUUUAAAGGGUCCGUAGGCGGUCUUGUAAGUCAGUGGUGAAAGCCCAUCGCUCAACGGUGGAACGGCCAUUGAUACUGCAGGACUUGAAUUAUUGGGAAGUAACUAGAAUAUGUAGUGUAGCGGUGAAAUGCUUAGAGAUUACAUGGAAUACCAAUUGCGAAGGCAGGUUACUACCAAUUGAUUGACGCUGAUGGACGAAAGCGUGGGUAGCGAACAGGAUUAGAUACCCGGGUAGUCCCUGUCUCUUAUAC
rnacentral:rRNA from 1 species